AGGAUUUUCCUCUCUUCAAUAUCUGUCAGUUCAAAGGUGCAACAAAUUGGAAGUUCUUCCAAUAACUGGAGGAUGUUCAUCUCUUGAAAAGCUUCACAUUGGCGGUUGUGGAAAAUUAAGCAAGAUUGGAGAUGGAUUAUCUACCUCCACUUGUCUCAAAGAAUUAGAUCUAGACGAUUGUCCUGAUUUAAGUUCGAUCCCAAAUUUGGAAGGAUUUUCCUCUCUUCAAUAUCUGUCAGUUAAAUGGUGCAACAAAUUGGAAGUUCUUCCAAUAACUGGAGGGUGUUCAUCUCUUGAAAAGCUUUGCAUUGUCGGUUGUGAAAAAUUAAGCAAGAUUGGAGAUGGAUUAUCUACCUCCACUUGUCUCAAAGAAUUACGUCUAUACUGUUGUCCUGAUUUAAGUUCGAUCCCAAAUUUGGAAGGAUUUUCAUCUCUUCAAAAUCUAUCAGUUGAUGGCUGUGACAAAUUGGAGAGCUUUCCACUAAAAGCACCACUGUCAUCCCUUAAAGAAUUGAGGAUAGGUGAUUGCCCUAAUUUGAAGCCCAUUCCAAGUUUAGAUGGACCCUCUUCUCUCACAAAAUUAGAAUUUGAGAAUGUAGGCGAAGAAUGGAGUCGUCUGCUACCAAAUAUGUUGCAAUCCAACGUUUCCCUUUGCAGUCUAACAAUAUUAAAUUUGCCUGAUCCGACAUGGAUUCAAGAUGACAGCCUUGGUAGGCUUAACUGCUUGAGAGAAUUAGCUAUCGGUGGUUUCUCAGAAGAGCUACAAGAAUUACCGUGGCCCAGUUCCAUUCAAUAUCUCAGUGCCUCCCUUCUAGUUCUAAAACUGACUGGUUGGGAAAAGCUAAAGAGUCUUCCUCACCAACUUCAGUUCUUCACUGCCCUCGAAGAAUUGAGGAUGGAAGGGUUUGAAGGAGUAGAAGCCUUUCCAGAGUGGUUGGGAAAUCUCUUCUCUAAAGCGUCUAUAUUUGAGUGGUUUUGGAAAGCUAAAGAGUCUUCCUCACCAACUUCAUCUCCCCAAUGCCCUUGAAGAUUUGACAUUCAUGGGGUUUCAAGGAAUAGAAGCCUUUCCAGAGCGGUUGGGAAAUCUCUCUUCUCU
rnacentral:lncRNA from 1 species